CCGACCUUAGCUCAGUUGGUAGAGCGGAGGACUGUAGUGUGUAAAUUCAUUGUAAUCCUUAGGUCACUGGUUCGAAUCCGGUAGGUCGGA
rfam:Gossypium raimondii Chr10_contig_944, whole genome shotgun sequence.